rnacentral:pre_miRNA from 1 species
UAGCAGCACGCCAUGGUUUGUAGAGAUACGGUGAUACAAACCAUCGUGGGCUGUUACA